ACGGGUGAGUAACACGUGGGUAAUCUGCCUUUGGGUGGGGAAUAACGAUCCGAAAGGGUCGCUAAUACCGCAUAACGCAGCGGCACCGCAUGGUGACAGUUGUUAAAGCGGGGGAUCGAAAGACCUCGCGCCUGAAGAGGAGCCCGCGCCCGAUUAGCUUGUUGGUGAGGUAAUGGCUCACCAAGGCUUCGAUCGGUAACCGGCCUGAGAGGGCGGUCGGCCACACUGGCACUGAGACACGGGCCAGACUCCUACGGGAGGCAGCAGUGGGGAAUUUUGGGCAAUGGGCGAAAGCCUGACCCAGCAACGCCGCGUGAAGGACGAAAUCCCUCUGGGAUGUAAACUUCGAAAGUCAGGAAAGAAAUCGAGUGGGGUAAUAUCCCGCUUGGAUGACGGUACCUGACGUAAGCCCCGGCUAACUACGUGCCAGCAGCCGCGGUAAUACGUAGGGGGCAAGCGUUGUUCGGAAUUACUGGGCGUAAAGGGCGCGUAGGCGGCACAGCAAGUCGGGAGUGAAAGCCCGGGGCUCAACCCCGGAACUGCUUUCGAAACUGCUGAGCUAGAGUGCAGAAGGGGCAACUGG
rnacentral:rRNA from 1 species